UCUCUUGCAUUACACUCGUUUGUUUUCAUUGCUUUUUUCACUUUAUUUUUGGUGUGUUUGGUUAUAUAUGCAUAACUCUUAUCUUUUAACCAUGGCAUCCACAUGGGAUAUCGCCACUCCUCACUAAGGCAAUGUCGAGACAAUGACACCUCCACACUCGGACACGUGUUCAGCCCUGCUGGCCUCCUUGAACACCACACAACUGCUGGUACGUGCUUCCUCCAGCUUUAAUGCCCCAUUUGCUGCUGGUACCUUACACCACACCACCUCAUUUCAUUGAGAAUUGUAGACACUUUGACUUGUUUUGCAAUGAGUAUUUGGUCAAGGAAUAGCUGGACAUGCUGUUGCUAAUCAGCUCUUCUGACAAAGUUCUAGUGCCUGAAGGAGGAUCUCUGAUGUUUUUUUCCACUGAGCCCUCAUCCAAAGCCAGGAGGAGUAACUUGGUUAAACUGAUAUCAAAUUCAAGCUCCACGCUGACCUUGCAACAUACAGGACAGUGGGAGAAUCGUAAAGACUAAAUAAAGUGAUAGGAGGACUGAUGGUUGAGGCAUAGAUGUGGCAGUAACAAUUUUAUGGAGCAGCUGACAGAAACUACCUGAACUUUGUUGAGAAUAAAUAAAACCAAAACUAAUUUUGUAUCUACAUUCAUCAAGGAAACAAGCCAUUAAGUGGAGCACUAAUUUAAGCCUGCAUUCUUUUUGAAAAGUCAGAUGUUGUUUAAUGUAGUGGAAAUUAUGGCCAUAUUCAACAUCUGUAAGAACAGAGGUAAUUGAACCCAAAAGGCAGAAAAGACUUCUGGAGGAAACCCAUCUGGACCUGAAGAUUUACCAUUUUGGACAGAAAAUGAAUUGAUUUCAUUCACCCCGCUUUUGGAUUCUACUUAAAUUUUACACACUCCAUAAACCUAAUUUAGUUAAUAUAGUGGCCAAUUAUUCAACUACUUUUGCAUGACAUUUUGUCCUCCCUGCAGCUCCUCAAUCUUACUGAAAACCCUUUUCAUUUUAGGCUUGCUCAAUUUACUGACAGUAUUUGUAAAAAAAAAA